rnacentral:rRNA from 1 species
GUAAUGGCGAAUGAACCUAGAUAUGCUCAAUUUGAAAAAUAAGGGAGACUGUUUGACAUGUAAUUUCAAAAUGUACAACCAAUUGGCAUGCAAGUGGAAGCUCAUUGAAAGAAUGCGUCGAAGAAGGUGAAAAUCCAUUUUGCCACUUGUAAUGUUGUUGUUUAUGGUGUAUAUUUCAGGAGUCACAUUCCUUGGCAUUGGAAUGCAAUGUGGGUGGUAAACUUCAUGCAAAGAUUAAUAUGUGUUUGAGAUUGAUAGUACACAAAUACCGUGAGGGAAAUAUGAAAAGGACUUUGAAAAGAGAUUUAAAAGAGUUUGCAGUUGCUGAACAAAAAACAAAUAGGAUGUCGACGAUUGAGCAGAUUGUUGAACCUCGGUUUGCUUCAAUUGCUAGCAUGUGUGUAUUCAAUGAUUCUAUCUUUGUCUACCAUACCAUUCUCAGCGUAUCAUGACACUUGCAGGUUUCGUGUUUUUGCUUGCGGGCUAAUGACAACACCUGCUUGAGAAUGGUAUGCCAAGUGUUCAUUGUGCUUAGAGUCUGCAUACUGCUUAUGUUAAGUUGCAAUUCUGAACUUGUGCUUUGAGCUGUGCUUUACCUUCUGCAUAUGUCUAUUGGUGAUCAUAUCCUGCUUGACCCGUCUUGAAACACGGACCAAGGAGUCUAAUAGAUGUGCAAGCUUUGAAACUGCUAUUUUGUUUAAACCAAUGAAAUUAAGAGCUGGGAUUUUUGCACCAGCAACCAAUUGAUUGGUGGGUAAAGCCUUGAGUUGGAGCAUAUUUAUUAGGACCCGAAAGAUGGUGAACUAUGCCUGAAGAGAAUGAAUUCAGAGGAAACUCUGACGGAAGUUCGCAUCAAUACUGACGUGCAAAUCGUUUGUCAUACUUGGGUAUA